GCUAAUACAUGCAAGUCGAACGCACUCUCGUUUAGAUUGAAGGAGCUUGCUCCUGAUUGAUAAACAUUUGANUGAGUGGCGGACGGGUGAGUAACACGUGGGUAACCUGCCCUAAAGUGGGGGAUAACAUUUGGAAACAGAUGCUAAUACCGCAUAAAACCUAACACCGCAUGGUGUAGGGUUGAAAGAUGGUUUCGGCUAUCACUUUAGGAUGGACCCGCGGUGCAUUAGUUAGUUGGUGAGGUAAAGGCUCACCAAGACCGUGAUGCAUAGCCGACCUGAGAGGGUAAUCGGCCACACUGGGACUGAGACACGGCCCAGACUCCUACGGGAGGCAGCAGUAGGGAAUCUUCCACAAUGGACGAAAGUCUGAUGGAGCAACGCCGCGUGAGUGAAGAAGGUUUUCGGAUCGUAAAACUCUGUUGUUGGAGAAGAAUGUAUCUGAUAGUAACUGAUCAGGUAGUGACGGUAUCCAACCAGAAAGCCACGGCUAACUACGUGCCAGCAGCCGCGGUAAUACGUAGGUGGCAAGCGUUGUCCGGAUUUAUUGGGCGUAAAGCGAGCGCAGGCGGUUUCUUAAGUCUGAUGUGAAAGCCUUCGGCUCAACCGAAGAAGUGCAUCG
rnacentral:rRNA from 2 species